GGAGGGGGCUAGCGUUGUUCGGAUUUACUGGGCGUAAAGCGCACGUAGGCGGAUCGAUCAGUCAGGGGUGAAAGGCCUGGGCUCAACCCGGGAACUGCCUNNGAUACUGUCGAUCUUGAAUCCGGGAGAGGUAAGCGGAANUCCAAGUGUACAGGUGAAAUNCGUACAUAUUUGGAAGAACACCAGUGGCGAAGGCGGCUUACUGGACCGGUAUUGACGCUGAUGUGCNAAAGCGUGGGGAGCGAACAGGAUUAGAUACCCUGCUAGUCCACGCCGUAAACGAUGAGUGCUAGUUGUCNGGGGUUCGGCCUUUGGUGACCCACCUAACGCCUUAANCACUCCGCCUGGGGAGUACCGCCGCAAGGUUAAAACUCAAAGGAAUUGACCGGGGCCGCACAAGCGGUGGAGCAUGUGGUUUAAUUCGAAGCAACGCGAAGAACCUUACCAGCUCUUGACAUACCAAUCGCGAUUGGGAGACCCCUUUCCUUCAGUUCGGCUGGAUUGGAUACAGGUGCUGCAUGGCUGUCGUCAGCUCGUGUCGUGAGAUUGUUGGUUAAGUCCCGCAACGAGCGCAACCCUGCCCUUAGUUACCAUCAUUAAGUUGGGUACUCUAGGGGACUGCCGGUGACAAGCCGGAGGAAGGUGGGGAUGACGUCAAGUCAUCAUCCGGUUACGGGCUGGGCUACACACGUGCUACAAUGGCGGUGACAGUGGGCAGCGAUGGGGCGACCCUGAGCUAAUCUCCAAAAACCGUCUCAGUUCGGAUUGUUCUCUGCAACUCGAGAGCAUGAAGUCGGAAUCGCUAGUAAUCGCGUAUCAGCAUGACGCGGUGAAUACGUUCCCGGGCCUU
rnacentral:rRNA from 1 species